CAACUUGCCUGGAGCAUCAUCUGCUUUGUUUCUGGUGCAGAGCAAGAGGGAAAACUGGGCAUCUUGGAGAAGCACUAGGAGAUGGGACAGAGCAGAGAUGUUUAGAGAGAAAACCCACUUUAUUAGACAUAUUCAGUUACUAUCUUGAGGCUCGAGUUCCAUAGCAAAAUAGUAUUCUCUAGAUUCAGAAAAACAGAAGCAGCUCCAAUCUUCUACAGCGUCCAUCUGGAUGUCAGCUGGACAUACAGUCAGGGACUCACACAUACAGCCACUAGAGCUGCACCCAAAAUCU